GUGCAUCGCAUACUUCUAUGUACUAACGUAUUACAAUUCAAAGCUAAGUUAAACACGUGCUCAGUUUAAGUGCAAAGGUGUGCAAAGGGUGAGGUUCAACAACGCCUUAUAUUUCAAAGGAACGAUAAUGAAGAAAUGACAAGAGAAGGAGAAGUUAUCCUAUAAGUACAAUUAUCCCAACUGUGGUCCGUUGUACAGGCGUCAAAACGACAUGCGCACCUCCACUACACCCGAGUUUUCGAUGUUAUUCGUAGUUUUGAUCCUAUAAAAAUUACAAAAAAGACUAUAAUAUUAGAUUUUUUUUAUUUAGUUUAGAAAUUAGCUCAAAGUGCAUACUUUACGGGUUUUCUAAAAUUUAUCGGAAAUUAUUAGGCCAUUGUUUAAAAGAACCUAUUUAUUGUUUAUGGAGGACCACCCAUGAUAACGUUUUUGAGUAACGUAAUAUCAAUAUUACGCCGUAAAAACGUCUGUGCCGUUUUUUAGCUGAGUUUUUUAUCGCAUAACUGUUCUUUUUUUCUUUCAAUAUCCUGUAACCAUAACAUAUGUAGUCUAAAAACUCUGCUGACCAGCAAAUAAUAAACACGUCAUUAUAUUUUUGUCGAAUCUUAUGUUAACUCCCUACAAAUUCUUUGUCAUGCCUUUGUUAAAAUUAAAUUACUUUGUAACCAAAA